rnacentral:rRNA from 1 species
GACGAGGGGUCCUAGCGUUGUUCGGAAUCACUGGGCGUAAAGCGUAUGUAGGCGGGUUUCUAAGUCAGGUGUGAAAUCCCACGGCUCAACCGUGGAAUUGCAUUUGAAACUGGAAGUCUUGAGUGUGGGAGAGAUUGGUAGAAUACCUGGUGUAGUGGUGAAAUACGUAGAUAUCAGGUGGAAUACCGGUGGCGAAGGCGGCCAAUUGGCCCAACACCGACGUUCAGGCACGAAAGCGUGGGGAGCAAACAGG